CCCUUAGAUGUUCUGGGCCGCACGCGCGCUACACUGACGGAGGCAGCGAGCAUGUCCUUCGCCGAGAGGUGUGGGGAAUCUUGUGAGUCUCCGUCGUGCUGGGGAUAGAUGGUUGCAAUUGUCGAUCUUGAACGAGGAAUUCCUAGUAAGCGCGAGUCAUCAGCUCGCGCUGAAUACGUCCCUGCCCUUUGUACACACCGCCCGUCGCUCCUACCGAUCGAAGAGUUAGGUGAAUUGUUUUGAUCGAUAAGAUUUGACUAUGGUCAACUCUCGUUGUGAAAUUCUGUGAAUCUGACUGUUUAGAGGAAGGAAAAGUCGUAACA
rnacentral:rRNA from 1 species